AUCUGGAAAAGAUCAAUCUUUUUUGGUUAGGAGACUGUGAGAAAGAAGAGACAUUGGGGGAUGCAUGCAGAAGAAAGAACAGGCAGUUAUUGCGUGCUCACCAAGUUCACCAGGAAUUUUCUGUAAAGAAACAGAUAAGAGAAUUCAUCAUAAUCUUAAGGAUCUCACAGUCUAAUGAAAGAGAGAUGAGAAAACAGUUGCUAUAGAGCACAGUUGUCUAUGGAGAACUGAAAUGGACUGUGU